CCUACGGGUGGCAGCAGUGAGGAAUAUUGGUCAAUGGGCGGGAGCCUGAACCAGCCAAGUCGCGUGAGGGAAGACGGUCCUAUGGAUUGUAAACCUCUUUAGCCGGGGAGCAAAGCCGGGCACGCGUGCCCGCCUGGAGAGUCCCCGCAGAAUAAGCUUCGGCUAACCCCGUGCCAGCAGCCGCGGUAAUACGGAGGAUGCGAGCGUUAUCCGGAUCUAUUGGGUUUAAGGGGUGCGUAGGCGGCUUUUUAAGUCGGCGGUAAAUUGGCGGGGCUCAACCCGGGCCGGCCGUUGAAACUGGGGGGCUUGAGUGGGCGAGAGGUAGGCGGAAUGCGUGGUGUAGCGGUGAAAUGCAUAGAUAUCACGCAGAACUCCGAUUGCGAAGGCAGCGUGCCGGGGCGCGACUGACGCUGAGGCACGAAAGCGUGGGGAUCGAACAGGAUUAGAUACCCUUGUAGUC
rnacentral:rRNA from 1 species